GACGAACGCUGGCGGCGUGCCUAAUACAUGCAAGUCGAGCGAAGCGGGGACGGGUGAGUAACACGUGGAUAACCUCCUAUAAGACUGGGAUAACUUCGGGAAACCCGAGCUAAAUCGGAUACUUAUAUAUGGAUCCGCGCUGCAUUGGCUAGUGGGUAAGGUAACGGCUUACCAAGGCAACGAUGCAUAGCCGACCUGAGAGGGUGAUAGGCCACACUGGAACUGAGACACGGUCCAGAAUCCAACGGGAGGCAGCAGUAGGGAAACUUCGGCAAUGGGCGAAAGCCUGACGGAGCAACGGCGCGUGAGUGAUGAAGGUUUUCGGAUCGUAAAACUCUGUUAUUAGAGAAGCGGUACCUAAUCAGAAAGCCACGGCUAACUACGUGCCAGCAGCCGGGGUAAUUC
rnacentral:rRNA from 1 species